rnacentral:rRNA from 1 species
CCAAUAGCGUAUAUUAAAGUUGUUGCAGUUAAAAAGCUCGUAGUUGAACCUUAGGCCCGUGCGGGCGGUCCGUCCUCUGGGCGAGCACUGCUCCGUCGCGGGUCUCACCUUCUGGCGAGCGUGGAUGCCAUUUAUUUGGUGUCCGCGGGAACCAGGACCUUUACCUUGAAAAAAUUAGAGUGCUCAAAGCGGGCUCCGACGCUUGAAUACAUUAGCAUGGAAUAAUUAAAUAGGACGAUGGUUCUAUUUUGUUGGUUUCCGGGACCGUCGUAAGGAUUAAUAGGGAUAGUUGGGGGCAUUCGUAUUCAAUUGUCAGAGGUGAAAUUCUUGUAUUUAUUGAAGACGAACUACUGCGAAAGCAUUUGCCAAGGAUGUUUUCAUUAAUCAAGAACGAAAGUUGGGGGAUCGAAGACGAUAAGAUACCGUCGUAGUCUCAACCAUAAACUAUGCCGACUGGGAAUCGGGCGAUGUUACUUUUCUGACUCGCUCGGCGCCCCGAG